rnacentral:rRNA from 1 species
CCCCUAUUGAUAGUUGCCAACAGGUAAUGCUGGGAACUCUAUCAAGACUGCCGUUGAUAAAACGGAGGAAGGUGGGGACGAUGUCAAGUCAUCAUGGCCUUUAUGUUCAGGGCUACACACGUGCUACAAUGGUUGGUACAAAACGUCGCAAUCUCGUAAGAGUGAGCUAAUCGCAUAAAACCAAUCUCAGUUCGGAUUGAAGUCUGCAACUCGACUUCAUGAAGUUGGAAUCGCUAGUAAUCGCGGAUCAGCAUGCCGCGGUGAAUACGUUCCCGGGUCUUGCACACACCGCCCGU